rnacentral:rRNA from 1 species
CCAGACUCCUACGGGAGGCAGCAGUGGGGAAUAUUGCACAAUGGGGGAAACCCUGAUGCAGCAACGCCGCGUGAGUGAAGAAGUAUUUCGGUAUGUAAAGCUCUAUCAGCAGGGAAGAAGAUGACGGUACCUGAUUAAGAAGCCCCGGCUAACUACGUGCCAGCAGCCGCGGUAAUACGUAGGGGGCAAGCGUUAUCCGGAUUUACUGGGUGUAAAGGGAGCGCAGACGGCAGUGCAAGUCUGGAGUGAAAGCCCGGGGCCCACCCCCGGAACUGCUCUUGGAACUGUGCGGCUGGAGUGCGGGAGGGGCAGGCGGAAUUCCUGGUGUAGCGGUGAAAUGCGUAGAUAUCAGGAGGAACACCGGCGGCGAAGGCGGCCUGCUGGACCGCGACUGACGUUGAGGCUCGAAAGCGUGGGGAGCGAACA